rnacentral:rRNA from 1 species
CCUACGGGAGGCAGCAGUGAGGAAUAUUGGUCAAUGGGCGUAAGCCUGACCCAGCAACGCCGCGUGAAUGAUGAAGGUCUUCGGAUUGUAAAGUUCUGUGAUGGGGGAUGAACACAAUGACGGUACCCCAAUAGCAAGCCACGGCUAACUACGUGCCAGCAGCCGCGGUAAUACGUAGGUGGCAAGCGUUAUCCGGAAUGACUGGGCGUAAGGGGUGCGUAGGUGGUUUAGUAAGUUGGCGGUGUAAUUCCGGGGCUCAACCUCGGCGCUACCGCCAAAACUAUUAGACUAGAGUGCAGGAGGGGUAAGUGGAAUUCCUAGUGUAGCGGUGGAAUGCGUAGAUAUUAGGAGGAACAUCAGGGGCGAAGGCGACUUACUGGACUGUAACUGACACUGAGGCACGAAAGCGUGGGGAGCAAACAGGAUUAGAUACCCUUGUAGUC